rnacentral:rRNA from 1 species
CGAACGGGUGAGUAACGCGUAGGUAACCUGCCUUAUACAGGGGGAUAACAGUCAGAAAUGGCUGCUAAUACCGCAUAAGCGCACAGCUUCGCAUGGAGCAGUGUGAAAAACUCUGGUGGUAUGAGAUGGACCCGCGUCUGAUUAGCUGGUUGGUAAGGUAACGGCUUACCAAGGCGACGAUCAGUAGCCGACCCGAGAGGGUGACCGGCCACAUUGGGACUGAGACACGGCCCAAACUCCUACGGGAGGCAGCAUG